AACGAACGCUGGCGGCAGGCCUAACACAUGCAAGUCGAACGAGAUCUUCGGAUCUAGUGGCAGACGGGUGAGGAACACGUGGGAACAUCCCUUUCAGUUCGGAAUAACGUUGGGAAACUAACGCUAAUACCGGAUACGUCCUUCGGGAGAAAGAUUUAUCGCUGAAAGAUUGGCCCGCGUCUGAUUAGCUAGUUGGUGAGGUAAUGGCUCACCAAGGCUACGAUCAGUAGCUGAUCUGAGAGGAUGAUCAGCCACAUUGGGACUGAGACACGGCCCAAACUCCUACGGAAGGCAGCAGUGGGGAAUAUUGGACAAUGGGCGCAAGCCUGAUCCAGCCAUGCCGCGUGAGUGAUGACGGCCUUCGGGUUGUAAAGCUCUUUUGUCCGGGAAGAUAAUGACUGUACCGGAAGAAUAAGCCCCGGCAAACUUCGUGCCAGCAGCCGCAGUAA
rnacentral:rRNA from 1 species